UGGGGUAUAGCCAAGCGGUAAGGCAAGGGACUUUGACUCCCUCAUUCGUAAGUUCGAAUCUUACUACCCCAG
rnacentral:tRNA from 2 species